GAGCAACCUGCCCUGGACUCUGGGAUAAGCGCUGGAAACGGCGUCUAAUACUGGAUAUGAGACGUGAUCGCAUGGUCGUGUUUGGAAAGAUUUUUCGGUCUGGGAUGGGCUCGCGGCCUAUCAGCUUGUUGGUGAGGUAAUGGCUCACCAAGGCGUCGACGGGUAGCCGGCCUGAGAGGGUGACCGGCCACACUGGGACUGAGACACGGCCCAGACUCCUACGGGAGGCAGCAGUGGGGAAUAUUGCACAAUGGGCGAAAGCCUGAUGCAGCAACGCCGCGUGAGGGAUGACGGCCUUCGGGUUGUAAACCUCUUUUAGCAGGGAAGAAGCGAAAGUGACGGUACCUGCAGAAAAAGCGCCGGCUAACUACGUGCCAGCAGCCGCGGUAAUACGUAGGGCGUAAGCGUUAUCCGGAAUUAUUGGGCGUAAAGAGCUCGUAGGCGGUUUGUCGCGUCUGCUGUGAAAUCCCGAGGCUCAACCUCGGGCCUGCAGUGGGUACGGGCAGACUAGAGUGCGGUAGGGGAGAUUGGAAUUCCUGGU
rnacentral:rRNA from 1 species